rnacentral:rRNA from 1 species
GACGAACGCUGGCGGCGUGCUUAACACAUGCAAGUCGAACGGUAAGGCUCCAGCUUGCUGGGGUACACGAGUGGCGAACGGGUGAGUAACACGUGGGUGACCUGCCCUGCACUUCGGGAUAAGCCUGGGAAACUGGGUCUAAUACCGGAUAGGACCGCACCGUGAGGGUGUGGUGGAAAGUUUUUUCGGUGUGGGAUGGGCCCGCGGCCUAUCAGCUUGUUGGUGGGGUAAUGGCCUACCAAGGCGGCGACGGGUAGCCGGCCUGAGAGGGUGGACGGCCACAUUGGGACUGAGACACGGCCCAGACUCCUACGGGAGGCAGCAGUGGGGAAUAUUGCACAAUGGGCGGAAGCCUGAUGCAGCGACGCCGCGUGGGGGAUGACGGCCUUCGGGUUGUAAACUCCUUUCACCAUCGACGAAGGGUUUCUGACGGUAGAUGGAGAAGAAGCACCGGCUAACUACGUGCCAGCAGCCGCGGUAAUACGUAGGGUGCGAGCGUUGUCCGGAAUUACUGGGCGUAAAGAGCUCGUAGGUGGUUUGUCGCGUCGUCUGUGAAAUUCCGGGGCUUAACUCCAGGCGUGCAGGCGAUACGGGCAUAACUUGAGUACUGUAGGGGAGACUGGAAUUCCUGGUGUAGCGGUGAAAUGCGCAGAUAUCAGGAGGAACACCGGUGGCGAAGGCGGGUCUCUGGGCAGUAACUGACGCUGAGGAGCGGAAGCAUGGGGAGCGAACAGGAUUAGAUACCCUGGUAGUCCAUGCCGUAAACGGUGGGCGCUAGGUGUGGGUUUCCUUCCACGGGAUCCGUGCCGUAGCUAACGCAUUAAGCGCCCCGCUUGGGGAGUACGGCCGCAAGGCUAAAACUCAAAGGAAUUGACGGGGGCCCGCACAAGCGGCGGAGCAUGUGGAUUAAUUCGAUGCAACGCGAAGAACCUUACCUGGGCUUGACAUAUACAGGAUCGCGCCAGAGAUGGUGUUUCCCUUGUGGCUUGUAUACAGGUGGUGCAUGGUUGUCGUCAGCUCGUGUCGUGAGAUGUUGGGUUAAGUCCCGCAACGAGCGCAACCCUUGUCUUAUGUUGCCAGCACGUUGUGGUGGGGACUCGUAAGAAACUGCCGGGGUUAACUCGGAGGAAGGUGGGGAUGACGUCAAAUCAUCAUGCCCCUUAUGUCCAGGGCUUCACACAUGCUACAAUGGUCGGUACAGUGGGUUGCCAGUCCGUGAGGGCGAGCUAAUCCCGCAAAGCCGGUCUCAGUUCGGAUCGGGGUCUGCAACUCGACCCCGUGAAGUCGGAGUCGCUAGUAAUCGCAGAUCAGCAACGCUGCGGUGAAUACGUUCCCGGGCCU